GAAAAAGAAGCUCCAGAGCCGCCAUUUCAUAUACGAGCAGCUGAGAGAACGGGGUGAGGUGGGCCUAGAAAUUGGCAAAACAAAAACAAAUCUAAAAUAACGAUUUUGAUCUUCGUCUGGUUGUCUCAUUUUGAGGAGCAAAGAUGAGCUACGGAAGGCCUCCGCCCGAUGUCGAGGGUAUGUCCUCGCUCAAAGUGGACAAUCUCACGUACCGGACCUCGCCUGAGACCCUACGCCGAGUUUUCGAGAAGUAUGGCCGGGUGGGAGACGUGUACAUCCCACGUGAUCGGUACACCAAGGAGAGCCGCGGUUUCGCCUUUGUGCGGUUCCACGAUAAGCGCGACGCUGAAGACGCGAUGGACGCCAUGGAUGGGGCCUUGCUCGACGGGCGGGAACUGCGAGUACAGAUGGCGCGCUAUGGCCGGCCACCAGACUCUCACUUCGGGCGCCGAGGCGGCGGUGGACCCCCAAGGAGGCAUGGAGGCUACGGUCGCAGGAGCAGAAGUCGUUCGGCCAGCCCCCGCCGGCGCAGAAGCAGUCGUUCCCGAAGCAGGAGCCGCAGCCGUGGCCGUGACUACAGCCGCUCCCGGUCUCGUUCCUCCUCUAGAUCCCGUUCCAAGUCCCGCACACCCCGCAAGAGCAAGUCCCCGUCCCGAUCGAGGUCCCGCAGCCGCACCCCGGCUUCCAACAGAGGGUCAAGGUCGAGGUCCAAGAGCAUGCCCAAAUCCACCGAGGACAACGGAAUCGAGUCUUAGUAACAACAGUUCCAACCCGGACCCAGUAAGACGAUGUCAGACGAUUGAGACAUCUUCUCUGUGGAUGUCGACCAGAGCAUAAGUCUGCCAGUGGACACCUUUCUAUGCCCAACAGAAUACUGACCAAAAGGCGCAGUUGUGUAGCAGUUGAGUAUUGCUGGUUAGCUGUUAAGGUGCGAUGCAGUGCUGAUGAUGGUGAGGUGGCUGGCGGGGGCGUUGCGGUGCCCGGUGCAGUUGCUUCCCGGCUCUCGGCUUGGUGCUGCUGCCGUUUGCCUGGUUCUGGUUUGUAAGAAUAAAUCAGUCACAGCUGUGGUGGCAGAUCUGAUCAUCCCAUCUCUCUCCCUGUGUUGUCAUAUGGUCUCUACCAUUCCUGAUGUACAAAUACAAUUCUUCACUUUCUCCAUCCCAACCCUAGCCUGGUGGAACCAAACUGAUCGCUGUGUUUAACAUUGUUUCGAUCAGGCUGGUUCCACCAGGUUAUCCUACCCCCUCCUCCAACUGUGGUUUAGUCCUCUGUUGUGAGCUGGUUGUACCCAGUGUUGAUGGAGUCUAUUAUGGCUCGAUAGAGGAGGGUUGGAUAAAGGGCAUUCCACUAGCUUGAUAAAUUAGUCUCAGUGCAUUAUUUUGUGAACCCUCACAAGAUGUCUUGUAACUGCUUCAGGUGAACGCUAAUAAUAAAUGUGGUACAUUUGUUGUUAUGGACUGUUAUUAGGUCAGAUGUUGCGAGAGCUUGUCUGUAAUGGUUGGCUUCGCUCCUUCACAGAGCUAGCCAAGACACAAAUACAUUUAAUGUUGAGCCAAUACAGCAUAUUACAAUUUCAGCAAGUUUAUACACUUCUAAAAAUGACAUCAAAAGGCAACGCAUUGAUGAGACCCUUUCCUUUUUAUAUGCACAAGCCUGUACCUGACUUGGUGUUUUCUCUAUACACCCCCCCAUGUCAGUUUGCAAACAAUGUUUUACUUUUCUUUAUACGUAAUAAUCCUUGAGUUAAUAAAGCCGACUACAAA